rnacentral:rRNA from 1 species
GCUUAACACAUGCAAGUCGAGCGGUAAGGCCUUUCGGGGUACACGAGCGGCGAACGGGUGAGUAACACGUGGGUGAUCUGCCCUGCACUCUGGGAUAAGCUUGGGAAACUGGGUCUAAUACCGGAUAUGACUGCAGCAUGCAUGUGGUGUGGUGGAAAGAUUUAUCGGUGCAGGAUGGGCCCGCGGCCUAUCAGCUUGUUGGUGGGGUAAUGGCCUACCAAGGCGACGACGGGUAGCCGACCUGAGAGGGUGACCGGCCACACUGGGACUGAGACACGGCCCAGACUCCUACGGGAGGCAGCAGUGGGGAAUAUUGCACAAUGGGCGGAAGCCUGAUGCAGCGACGCCGCGUGAGGGAUGAAGGCCUUCGGGUUGUAAACCUCUUUCAGCAGGGACGAAGCGUGAGUGACGGUACCUGCAGAAGAAGCACCGGCUAACUACGUGCCAGCAGCCGCGGUAAUACGUAGGGUGCGAGCGUUGUCCGGAAUUACUGGGCGUAAAGAGUUCGUAGGCGGUUUGUCGCGUCGUUUGUGAAAACCCGGGGCUCAACUUCGGGCUUGCAGGCGAUACGGGCAGACUUGAGUGUUUCAGGGGAGACUGGAAUUCCUGGUGUAGCGGUGAAAUGCGCAGAUAUCAGGAGGAACACCGGUGGCGAAGGCGGGUCUCUGGGAAACAACUGACGCUGAGGAACGAAAGCGUGGGUAGCAAACAGGAUUAGAUACCCUGGUAGUCCACGCCGUAAACGGUGGGCGCUAGGUGUGGGUUCCUUCC